GUCUAUAUGAAGUUAUAUGAAGUCUAGCCUGCCCAUUGAAUAAUUUUAAAAGGCCGCGGUAUAUUAACUGUGCAAAGGUAGCAUAAUCAUUAGUUUUUUAAUUGAAGGCUCGUAUGAAGGGUUGGACAAAGAAAGAUCUGUUUUUAUUUUUAUUUUUGAAUUUGACUUUUAAGUGAAAAGGCUUAAAUAAAUUUAAGGGACGAUAAGACCCUAUAAAUCUUUAUAUUAAUUAUUUUAAAUUAGUUAAUAAGGUAGAUAAGAUAAUAAAAUAAAAUAUAUUGUGUUGGGGUGAUAAGAAUAUAAUUAAUAACUGUUCUAAAAUAAAAACAAAGUUAUUUGUGUGAGAUUAGUGGAUCCUUUGUUGAGAUCAAAAGUUUAAGUUACUUUAGGGAUAACAGCGUUAUUUUUUUUGAGAGUUCUUAUCGAAAAAAAAGUUUGCGACCUCGAUGUUGAAUUAAAAUUUCUUUGUGGUGUAGUAGCUAUAAGAGAGAGUCUGUUCGACUUUU
rnacentral:rRNA from 1 species